UACAGAGGUCUCAAGCGUUGUUCGGAAUUACUGGGCGUAAAGAGUGUGUAGGCGGUGCUCCAAGUCUGGUGUGAAAUCUCCCGGCUUAACUGGGAGGGUGCAUUAGAAACUGGAAUGCUAGAGGAUGGGAGAGGUAAGCGGAAUUCCUGGUGUAGCGGUGAAAUGCGUAGAUAUCAGGAGGAACACCUGUGGUGUAGACAGCUUACUGGACCAUUUCUGACGCUGAGACACGAAAGCGUGGGUAGCAAACAGG
rnacentral:rRNA from 1 species